GAUGGGCUGGGCUUGACGGUUCCUGCGAGCGGGAGGAGGGGCGGAACUGCGGAGGGCGGUGCCUGAGGGGCUGAGAGCGGAUAAGGGGCGGGGCUAGGCGGAGUGGGCGGAGCUCUGGGGGCGUAGGGGAGCCUUGCUCCCAUCUUGUCUGCCAAAUUUUCCCGCCCUCCAGGUGGACGCACCGGUGGCAGAAUAUUAACUACCAAUUCCUGGGCAAGAGGAAGAGACAUCUAGUUCCUCUGCGCCCGUGAGAACCGAGAUUUGGGAAGACAGACUUCAGGUUCAUCGCAUGAUGGCCCUGGAGCUGACUUGGGCCAAGCCAGGAUGAGCAGAAAGAUGGCCUGGGAGCACUGCACAAUCUCCUGCCCCUCUCUGAGGGCGAAGAUGACCUAACUCUGACCUCUCCUGGGCUCCCUGCCCUUUGGUGCCCAAAUAAAGCCGCUUCCGCCUCUC